rnacentral:rRNA from 1 species
UACGUAGGCAGCAAGCGUUGUUCGGAGUUACUGGGCGUAAAGGGUGUGUAGGCGGUUCCUUAAGUUUGCUGUGAAAUCUCCCGGCUUAACCGGGAGGGUGCGGUGAAUACUGAGGGACUAGAGUACGGGAGAGGGAAAGUGGAAUUCCUGGUGUAGCGGUGAAAUGCGUAGAUAUCAGGAGGAACACCGGUGGUGUAGACGGCUCUCUGGACCGUAACUGACGCUGAGACACGAAAAGCGUGGGUAGCAAACAGG